UUGAGAACAGGUGUGAAGAAAUAUUAUUUCUUUCAUCAUCUUGAGAGAAUGCAAAUGUCAUUUGUAAACUUUCCAGUUCUCUUUUGUUAUUACAUUCUCCCCCCAGUCCCUAAACGCCUUUGCUCUACAAAAGAAGCAGGGAUGACAGAAAACUUUCCCGACGUCAACUAGAUUGAAACUAUUUCCGACGUUCUGGAUAGCACAGUGCCACUGACGUGGCCAGCUACCAAGGACUGUGGGCUCUCCUUCUCUGUGGCCAACUCUGCUGUCCCCAGAUGCUUCAAGAUGGCCACCUUGU